rnacentral:rRNA from 1 species
AGAGUUUGAUCAUGGCUCAGGAUAAACGCUGGCGGCGUGCGUAACACAUGCAAGUUGAGCGACGGAAGUUUGAACCAGUGAUGGGAAUGACUUCACGGAGCAGCGGACUGGUGAGUAAUAUAUGAGAAGCUGUCCAUCAGAGGGGGACAACAGAGGGAAACUUCUGCUAAUACCCCAUAGGCCUGCGGGUUAAAGCAGUAAUGCACUGGUGGAGGUGCUCGUAUCCUAUCAACUAGUUGGCGGUGUAAUAGACCACCAAGGUAACGACGGGUAGCCGGCCUGAGAGGGUGUACGGCCACAUUGGAACUGAGAUACGGUCCAAACUCCUACGGGAGGCAGCAGUGGGGAAUAUUGGGCAAUGGGAGAAAUCCUGACCCAGCGACGCCGCGUGAACGAUGAAGGCCUUAGGGUCGUAAAGUUCUUUUAUGUGAGAAGAAUAAAAUGACGGUAUCACAUGAAUAAGCCCCGGCUAACUACGUGCCAGCAGCCGCGGUAAUACGUAGGGGGCGAGCGUUGUUCGGAAUUACUGGGCGUAAAGGGCGCGCAGGCUGUCGAUCAAGUCAGCUGUUAAAUAUUGCGGCUUAACCGUGAUAUGCAGUUGAAACUGUUCGGCUGGAGUAUCGGAGAGGUAAGCGGAAUUCCCAGUGUAGCGGUGAAAUGCGUAGAUAUUGGGAAGAACAUCGGUGGCGAAGGCGGCUUACUGGCCGGUAACUGACGCUGAGGCGCGAAAGCCAGGGUAGCAAACGGGAUUAGAUACCCCGGUAGUCCUGGCGGUAAACGAUGAAUGCUAGGUGUGCGUGUAGAGAUACAGGUGUGCCGCAGUAAACACGAUAAGCAUUCCGCCUGGGGAGUACGGUCGCAAGAUUGAAACUCAAAGGAAUUGACGGGGGCCCGCACAAGCGGUGGAGCACGUGGUUUAAUUCGAUGCAAACCGAAGUACCUUACCUGGGUUUGACAUACAAGUGGUAAGAGCUGGAAACAGUUAUGACCCUAGCAAUAGGGAGCUUGAACAGGUGCUGCAUGG